rnacentral:rRNA from 1 species
UGGGGAAUUUUGGACAAUGGGGGAAACCCUGAUCCAGCCAUCUCGCGUGUGCGAUGAAGGCCUUCGGGUUGUAAAGCACUUUUGGCAGGAAAGAAACGUCAUGGGUUAAUACCCCGUGAAACUGACGGUACCUGCAGAAUAAGCACCGGCUAACUACGUGCCAGCAGCCGCGGUAAUACGUAGGGUGCAAGCGUUAAUCGGAAUUACUGGGCGUAAAGCGUGCGCAGGCGGUUCGGAAAGAAAGAUGUGAAAUCCCAGAGCUCAACUUUGGAACUGCAUUUUUAACUACCGGGCUAGAGUGUGUCAGAGGGAUGUGGAAUUCCGCGUGUAGCAGUGAAAUGCGUAGAUAUGCGGAGGAACACCGAUGGCGAAGGCAGCCUCCUGGGAUAACACUGACGCUCAUGCACGAACGCGUGGGGAGCAAACAGG